rnacentral:rRNA from 1 species
AUUGAACGCUGGCGGCAGGCCUAACACAUGCAAGUCGAGCGAGAGGCGGACGGGUGAGUAAAGUCUGGGAAACAGCCUGAUGGAGGGGGAUAAAUACUGGAAACGGUAGCUAAGACCGCAUAUCAUCGGAUGUGCCCAGAUGGGAUUAGCUAGAAGGUGGGGUCACGGCUCACCUAGGCGACGAUCCCUAGCUGGUCUGAGAGGAUGACCAGCCACCCUGGAACUGAGACACGGUCCAGACUCCGACGGGAGGCAGCAGUGGGGAAUAUUGCCCAAUGGGCGCAAGCCUGAUGCAGCCAUGCCGCGUGUAUGAAGAAGGCCUUCGGGUUGUAAAGUACUUUCAGCGGGGAGGCGUUACCCGCAGAAGAAGCACCGGCUAACUCCGUGCCAGCAGCCGCGGUAAUUC